UUUCCGUAGGUGAACCUGCGGAAGGAUCAUUAGUAAAUUGAGUAUUUUAGCGGCCCUCUUCGGAAUCCCUAGCAUCAGAGCAAAGCCAUAACACCUGUGUACUAUAUGGCUGUCUUGAAAACGAUAGUGAUUAAAGCGCCUGCCCCUUUUAUACAAACAUUAAAAUAACAAACGUAGUCUUAUUUAAAUCAAAUAAAACUUACAAUAACGGGACUCUUGGCUCUCACAUCAAUUAAGAACGAACAAGAUAGCAAUAGCCUCCCGCUUAGAUCAAGACCC
rnacentral:misc_RNA from 1 species